ACCUGCGGAAGGAUCAUUACACAUAUAUAUGGACACUAAUGUGGUCCCUUGACUAAAACCCUCUCUGCGUACCAAUCUAUGUUGCUUCCUCUAGAUGACCAAGACAGCUGCCGUCCAACAUUGCCUGCUAGCUCAGUCAAUCCGAGUUGUUAACUUGGAGUUUGAUCUUUUUUUUACUUCCUAAAUAAGCUUGGAAGGGACUGCGAUUUUUCCUCAAAGCCACCAAGAGCAGCUAUGUAGGCCUCUGGGAAAGGGUCCAUCACAAGUGAAUAUUUCAAUCAGCUGUCUGAGUCGGCCUAGUGCCUUAUUCUUUAAACAAGUUAAAACUUUUCAACAACGGAUCUCUUGGCUCUCGCAUCGAUGAAGAACGCAGCGAAAUGCGAUAAGUAAUGUGAAUUGCAGAAUUCAGUGAAUCAUCGAAUCUUUGAACGCACAUUGCGCCCCUUGGUAUUCCUUGGUGCAUGCCUGUUCGAGCGUCACUACAAACCCGCUCAUAAAUGUUAUGGUAUUUGAUGGAAGUGAACUGUUGCAACUAAAGUGUGUGGAUCACCCCAUCGAAAUACAUAGGCUGGACAACAAACUUCUGUAGUUGACUUUUUUAACUGUUUUCAAGACACAAAACCAGUCACUUUGCUAGGUUCUAGCCUGGCCUCCUUUAGACCUCCAUUUCAAAGAUAAAAUACUGGGGUUGACCUCGGAUCAGUUAGGGGAUACCCCGCUGAACUUUAUGCAUAUCCAUUUUGCUGUUUUAAUUAGAUAACAAACAGGGGAUUUGCCCCUAGUACCGCCGAGUGAAGCCGGCAAAAAGCUCCAAUUUG
rnacentral:rRNA from 1 species